rnacentral:rRNA from 1 species
AUUGAACGCUGGCGGCAGGCCUAACACAUGCAAGUCGAGCGAGCGGCGGACGGGUGAGUAAUGUAUGGGGACUGCCCGAUAGAGGGGGAUAACUACUGGAACCGGUGGCUAAUACCGCAUACUAUCGGAUAACCCAUAUGGGAUUAGCUAGUAGGUGGGGUAAAGGCUCACCUAGGCGACGAUCUCUAGCUGGUCUGAGAGGAUGAUAGGCCACACUGGGCCUGAGCCACGGCCCAGACUCCUACGGAGGCAGCAGUUGGUAAUAGUGCACAAUAGGCGCAAGCCUGAUGCAGCCAUGCCGCGUGUAUGAAGAAGGCCUUAGGGGUGUAAAGUACGUUCAGCGGGGAGGCGGUACCCGCAGAAGAAGCACCGGCUAACUCCGUGCCAGCAGCCGCGGUAAUUC